AUGACGGCCCUAUGGGUUGUAAACUGCUUUUAUACACCAAGAAAAACCUCCACGUGUGGAGACUUGACGGUAGUGUAUGAAUAAGCAUCGGCUAACUCCGUGCCCCCGGCCGCGGUAAUGGGGAGGAUGCAAGCGUUAUCCGGAUUCAUUGGGUUUAAAGGGUGCGUAGGCGGCCUUUUAAGUCAGUGGUGAAAUCUUGCCGCUUAACGGUAAAAUUGCCAUUGAUACUGAAAGGCUUGAAUACAGUUGAGGUAAGCGGAAUGUGUAUUGUAGCGGUGAAAUGCUUAGAUAUUACACAGAACACCAAUUGCGAAGGCAGCUUACUAAACUGGUACUGACGCUGAUGCACGAAAGCGUGGGGAGCGAACAGGAUUAGAUACCCUGGUAGAGUCACUAGUGAAUUC
rnacentral:rRNA from 1 species